AUCUCUGUCCUGAUACUAUUAGUUCAGAUGCAACAAUGAGGAAUUAUUUGGUAUAAUCCACAGAGCUGGAAUCCAGUGCAACAGGAUGAAGUCUGUAAUAUAAAAUUCAGAUUUGACUAUAUGAAAUCUUCUUGAGAGUGAAAUCUGUGAAGAAAGGGACCUUUGAUAGGAGUUGUGGAAAUCCCAACAUGGUAGAUUUUUGUAGAACAAAAAAUCUUGUCUGGAAAGUCCUGUCUGUAUGGAGAUAUGCUGGAUGAUCUAACCCAGCAGGGUCUGUCUGGGUUUUUUUUGGAAUGGCAUAGAAGGACUGGAUGCAAAGGAUAAGGAGAAAAGUCACCUUUGAAAUCCAAUGUUACUGUUCUAGUCAUCUGAUAUGAUAAUACCCACCAACAAGAGGAACAUAAACUGGUAUUAAGUGGAAAUAUUCAACAUUCACAUUGAAAAAGCUCCCUUUUCAAUUUUCUUUUUCAAAUCACAUUUGAGAUUACUUUGAAGGAUUCAUGACUUCUUUCAGGCUCCACAGAUCGUUGUUUGCACCCUGGAGUAUUUUAAUUUAUGCUACAAAUGUGUUUUCAGGGCCGAAUGUUUUAAGAAACUUUCAUUGGAAAUGCACUUUGAAUUUCACUCCAAUGUGUAGAGUGAGUACUGAAUCAUUUUUCUUCCUUAAUCUGUUUAAAUAAUAUUUUUUCCUAACAGUAUGGUACAAUGACAAAUUAAGGGAAAAAAAGUGGCCAAUAGGAAACCUACUACCCAUACUAAUAUUUAUACAGGCUCUUCUUUGUUCAUAGGAAUGAACCUUACUCUUUCAGCCACAGAGUUUGUACCAUGUACAUGUCAUUGACAAAUGUCUGUACUGCAAGAUACAGCUAUUUAUCUUCAGUUCAGUUGAAUAGAACAAGCUUUGUACUUUAUAGAAACAUUUUGUUCUAUGUUUGUGCUUUUUUCUUGGCUUUUCUUUUUUUUUUUUUUUUUUAAUGUUUGACAUAUUAGACAUAAUGGGGAAUGACAAAGAAUAAUGGGAUUACUCAGAUGAUAUAUUUGAUGAUUUUUCAAGGAACAGAGUCCCAGGGGUUGGCCUAGUGACCACAUUUUUGGUUUGGCCACAGCGUAGCACAAUUAUUCUUUUUAAGCAGAGCCCACUGUGCACAACUCUGUUCAAUAAAUGAAAUGGCAAUAUAUGUUCUUUUAUGUCUUUUUUGAGUUUUGGCAUUGUUUUUUCAUUUUGUUUGCCCCUUCUGCAAGUGAAAAUUAAUAACGUUAGCAGCAUAAAAAAGGAAGGAAAACCCAUAUGAGAAAAUGUAAAUUUGCCCUGCCAUAACGGUGGUUGAAAUGGUCUUAAAUAUCUUUCCCAACCUAAGUGAUUCUACAGUUCUAAAGACUCUGUCAUGAAGUAUUUGGGUAGCAUCCCAUGUAUAGCAUCACAAGCCUUCCAGUGACUGUGAUUAUCUAUGAUAGUACAUAAAGUAAAAGAAAUUAUAAUAGAUAAGUUCAUAGAUUUGCCUCAGCAGGUGGCAUUUGAGCAAUCCAUAAUAUGUCAAAGACUAUUCAUCAGUUAAUGUAUGAUCAUUUAAAUAAAAGAGCAAAUCAAAUUUUGAUAUAUUUCAGGAACUGAGAAGAAAAAUGAAACUCUAAAAUUCAGCUAGGUAAAACAUUCUUAAUAAAAUGUAAUUUAUACAGAUUUAAGCUUACUUCAUGAUCUUAAGACACCAAAUUUGGGAGAUAAACAUCACUGAGAAAUAGAGCUUCACAACUUUUAUAGAAGUUACUAUCUCCAGGGGCAUGCAGAGAUAGUGACUAUUGCUCUAAACCAAAAAAUUUCUAUUGUAUGUGUAGAUUGUGAGUGUGUAGUAGGUACAUAUACAAAAAAAUAUAGAUAGAUAGAUAGAUAGAUAGAUAGAUAGAUAGAUAGAUAGAUAUGUAAAAAAAUUUAAGCUGCAUUUUCUUUAGUCUUCCAUUAACAUGUACCAGGUAUAGUACCUCCCUUAAAUCAAACCAACAGCAAUAGUUUUGAUAAGUGUCAGCUAAUUUGUAAGCAUUGCUGAGGGCAGUCUAUUUAAACAGAUUUACAAAUGCAGAGAAGGAUAAAAGCUCCAUAAAGGAGCACUAUAUCUGUUUGAAGUGAAAUUGCCAGAAGGAUUUUGUACAAGGAAGCUCUCUCAUUUUUGAAGAACUGUUCCAGAUUAGGUAGUAGAGAAUUCAGUAUUCUCUGCCCACCUCUAGAUCUUUCUUGAGAACUGCACUGUUUGUGUGUAUAUGCUAUUUAAUCCUUGUAGUGUUGAUUGCUGAAAUAAUGCUUCAAGGUCAAAUGCUGUAUGAGAUUUUGAAGUGUUAGUAAUUUAAACUAAGUAAAUCCAAAUAGUUAGAUUAACUAAAAAUACAACUGUUUUUUCUGAAGAGUUCUAUAUUCCUGUAUUCCAAAAAUAUCUUUAUUUCCACUUCUGUAGGUUUUGUUUGCAGCUGUGGGAAAGUGCACUGAAAGUUAUCUAUGUGCUUUUUGCUCCUGCAAGCAAGCAGAAGUGUGCUUAUCCUCAUGUCCUAUAGUAGAGUUC